rnacentral:rRNA from 1 species
GAUGAACGCUGGCGGCGUGCCUAAUACAUGCAAGUCGAGCGAACGGACGAGAAGCUUGCUUUUCUGAUGUUAGCGGCGGACGAGUGAGUAACACGUGGAUAACCUACCUAUAAGACUGGGAUAACUUCGGGAAACCGGAGCUAAUACCGGAUAAUAUUUUGAACCGCAUGGUUCAAAAGUGAAAGACGGUCUUGCUGUCACUUAUAGAUGGAUCCGCGCUGCAUUAGCUAGUUGGUAAGGUAACGGCUUACCAAGGCAACGAUGCAUAGCCGACCUGAGAGGGUAAUCGGCCACACUGGAACUGAGACACGGUCCAGACUCCUACGGGAGGCAGCAGUAGGGAAUCUUCCGCAAUGGGCGAAAGCCUGACGGAGCAACGCCGCGUGAGUGAUGAAGGUCUUCGGAUCGUAAAACUCUGUUAUUAGGGAAGAACAUAUGUGUAAGUAACUGUGCACAUCUUGACGGUACCUAAUCAGAAAGCCACGGCUAACUACGUGCCAGCAGCCGCGGUAAUACGUAGGUGGCAAGCGUUAUCCGGAAUUAUUGGGCGUAAAGCGCGCGUAGGCGGUUUUUUAAGUCUGAUGUGAAAGCCCACGGCUCAACCGUGGAGGGUCAUUGGAAACUGGAAAACUUGAGUGCAGAAGAGGAAAGUGGAAUUCCAUGUGUAGCGGUGAAAUGCGCAGAGAUGUGGAGGAACACCAGUGGCGAAGGCGACUUUCUGGUCUGUAACUGACGCUGAUGUGCGAAAGCGUGGGGAUCAAACAGGAUUAGAUACCCUGGUAGUCCACGCCGUAAACGAUGAGUGCUAAGUGUUAGGGGGUUUCCGCCCCUUAGUGCUGCAGCUAACGCAUUAAGCACUCCGCCUGGGGAGUACGACCGCAAGGUUGAAACUCAAAGGAAUUGACGGGGGCCCGCACAAGCGGUGGAGCAUGUGGUUUAAUUCGAAGCAACGCGAAGAACCUUACCAAAUCUUGACAUCCUUUGACAACUCUAGAGAUAGAGCCUUCCCCUUCGGGGGACAAAGUGACAGGUGGUGCAUGGUUGUCGUCAGCUCGUGUCGUGAGAUGUUGGGUUAAGUCCCGCAACGAGCGCAACCCUUAAGCUUAGUUGCCAUCAUUAAGUUGGGCACUCUAAGUUGACUGCCGGUGACAAACCGGAGGAAGGUGGGGAUGACGUCAAAUCAUCAUGCCCCUUAUGAUUUGGGCUACACACGUGCUACAAUGGACAAUACAAAGGGCAGCGAAACCGCGAGGUCAAGCAAAUCCCAUAAAGUUGUUCUCAGUUCGGAUUGUAGUCUGCAACUCGACUACAUGAAGCUGGAAUCGCUAGUAAUCGUAGAUCAGCAUGCUACGGUGAAUACGUUCCCGGGUCU